rnacentral:rRNA from 1 species
GUGGGGAAUCUUGCACAAUGGGCGAAAGCCUGAUGCAGCGACGCCGCGUGAGCGAUGAAGCCCUUCGGGGUGUAAAGCUCUUUCGACGGGAACGAUAAUGACGGUACCCGGAGAAGAAGCUGCGGCUAACUACGUGCCAGCAGCCGCGGUAAUACGUAGGCAGCGAGCGUUGUUCGGAAUUACUGGGCGUAAAGAGUGUGUAGGCGGUGUUCCCAGUCUGUUGUGAAAUCUCCCGGCUUAACUGGGAGGGUGCAGCGGAAACUAGAAUGCUAGAGGGUGGGAGAGGUAAGCGGAAUUCCUGGUGUAGCGGUGAAAUGCGUAGAUAUCAGGAGGAACACCUGUGGUGUAGACAGCUUACUGGACCACUUCUGACGCUGAGACACGAAAGCGUGGGUAGCAAACAGGAUUAGAAACCCUUGUAGUCC